rnacentral:rRNA from 1 species
GACAGAGGGUGCAAACGUUGUUCGGAAUUACUGGGCGUAAAGCGUGCGUAGGCGGUUCGUUAAGUCUGUUGUGAAAGCCCCGGGCUCAACCUGGGAAUGGCAAUGGAUACUGGCGAGCUAGAGUGUGUCAGAGGAUGGUGGAAUUCCAGGUGUAGCGGUGAAAUGCGUAGAUAUCUGGAGGAACACCGGUGGCGAAGGCGGCAUCCUGGACCGGCAUUGACGCUGAGGCGCGAAAGCCAGGGGAGCAAACGGG